UCAGAUUGACACACAAAAUUAAGCUUUACACUUACCAACUGUUUUUUUUUUUUCUUUUUAGAUCAUCCUUCAUCAAUAUGUUCUGGCAAUGCAGUCCUUCAACAGUCAAAGCAAUGAAGCUUAGUAGAUUUGGAGUGUUGGAGGUUGGAAUAAAUGCAAACUCACUAACAUUGCUGAGCUGUGAUGGUUGCUGGGUGAAUUUCCAGCUAUGGGAUGGCUUUUACUCCUUGGAUCAUAUCUAUGAGGAAACCUAGAAGGAAAAAGAAAACAAAGGGGGAAAGAAAAAUAGAUCUUAAAAAAUCUAUUAGAAAUGUAUUAGGCAUAUGAAGUGCAAAAACUAGGACGCAG
rnacentral:lncRNA from 1 species